CGAGCACGCGCGUGUGGCAUAUCAAUAAGCGGAGGAAAAGAAACUAACUAGGAUUCCCUCAGUAACGGCGAGUGAAGCGGGAAGAGCUCAAAUUUGAAAUCUUCAAGGUUUUACCUUGACGAAUUGUAGUUUAUAGAAGUGUUUUCUGUUAGAGAGGUUUGGUAAAAGUUCUUUGGAAUAGGACAUCAUAGAGGGUGAGAAUCCCGUAUUUGAUCCAUUACUUCCAGCGUUGUGAUACACUUUCAAAGAGUCGGAUUGUUUGGGAAUGCAGUCCAAAAUGGGUGGUAAAUUUCAUCUAAAGCUAAAUAUUGGCGAGAGACCGAUAGCGAACAAGUACCGUGAGGGAAAGAUGAAAAGAACUUUGAAAAGAGAGUUAAACAGUACGUGAAAUUGUCAAAAGGGAAGCGUUUGACACCAGUGUUGUUUUCUCGAAAAUCAAUUAAAAAGAGUUGGAUUUUGUAUUGUUAAGACCUUAUCAGCUUACUGUACUUUUUUCUUGCUCUUUUUAAUGCACUUUUCGUUUAACAAGUCAACAUCAAUUUCUUUUGUUGUAAAAGGGUCAUUGGAAGGUGGCUUUCACUUCGGUGAAAGUGUUUAUAGCCUUUGGCUUCUACAAUCGGAGAGAUUGAGGUCUGCAGCGUAGAUCCUUCGGGGUUAGAUACGUAGAUGCUAAGUUAUAGUUUUUUAUAGACAACUUGUUGACUAUGAUUAAUCAUGUAGCUUACUCGUUUACGCUAUUUUACCUACGCUUAGGAUGUUGAACUCUAUCACACACAG
rnacentral:rRNA from 1 species